rnacentral:rRNA from 1 species
UGGGGAAUAUUGCACAAUGGGGGAAACCCUGAUGCAGCGACGCCGCGUGAGUGAAGAAGUAUUUCGGUAUGUAAAGCUCUAUCAGCAGGGAAGAUAAUGACAGUACCUGACUAAGAAGCCCCGGCUAACUACGUGCCAGCAGCCGCGGUAAUACGUAGGGGGCAAGCGUUAUCCGGAUUUACUGGGUGUAAAGGGAGCGUAGGUGGUUCGGUAAGUCAGAAGUGAAAGCCCAGGGCUCAACCUUGGGACUGCUUUUGAAACUAUCGGACUAGAGUGCAGGAGAGGUAAGUGGAAUUCCUAGUGUAGCGGUGAAAUGCGUAGAUAUUAGGAGGAACACCAGAGGCGAAGGCGGCUUACUGGACUGUAACUGACACUGAGGCUCGAAAGCGUGGGGAGCAAACAGG